rfam:Atta cephalotes unplaced genomic scaffold scaffold00019, whole genome shotgun sequence.
GGUCGCGUGGACUCACUCAACCUGGGUGUGAUGCUUGCCUAUUUACAGGCCCUAGUGGUCAUCACAACCUUUUUGAGUGAGCGAGUGCGAUC